GCUUCCCAUAUCAUCUGGGUGGGUACCUUUAUCAUUUGUCCUUGGCCUUAUCUCUAUCCAACUGGAGCAGAUAAGCUCAAUCAAGAUUCUUCUUUCUCUUUCUUCUUCUUUGUUUUCUCUUCCUCCUCCACUAUUCGUCCUGCUGAUGAAAAUUUGUGAAUCAAAUUCGAGAUUUGGUGAUCGUAAUAAGAAAUGAAACAUCAAGAAUUGAUUUUCAGUGGUGAAGAUAGUCUAUAAUUGAAUUAGAUUCAGAAGAAGUGAUGUUUAGAGAGAUUCAGUGAGUUAGGGUUUAUGGAUUUGAAAUAAGCUUCGCAUGGAACUAAUAAUGAUGAUUUAUAGUUGGUAAUAGAUGGAGAUCGAAUGGUUCGAUACUGUGUUUGUGAUAUGAAGUUGUUAUGAAGAUGAAUCGAAGAAUGAAAGAGUUAGGGUUUCAGGGGAAAGCUCAGGGAAGAUUAAAAAGAAGAAGUUGUUGUUUUAGGAGAUUGAAUUAAGGUUGGGUUUGCUCUGAAUUGAAGUUUAGUUGGAUGUAUUGGGUUAAUUUCAAUUGUGUGAGAAAUUGAAUCGGAAAUUAGGGUUUUUGAGAAUUGAAGAUGGUGAUGAAGAUUGUUGGGUGUUUUUAGUUUGAUAUGGUUGUUCAAUUGAGGCAGAGGAAUGAUGAAUUCAACCUCAGUUGCCUGAGCAACACUGAUUUGAGGUAAUGUUUCUUAAUAGUAAAAUCAGUUGGUUUAUAAGUUUUUCCAUGAACUAUAAAUGAAGUUUGCUGUCGUAUGAAUCUGUUUAUGAAUGUGAUAAGGUUUAGGUUAUGUUGGUUGUAAGAAGAUGGUAUAUGUUAGAAUUGUGCAGGGGUUGAGCUUUAUGAAUUGAAAUGGUUGUGAGAUAGAUAUGUGGUUGAGCUGAGUUAACUGUGGUGGUGUUGUAAGGUGCAGGGGGGAUGGAAAAGAGAAGUUGAGAUGGUAUAAUGGCUGGUGGAGCUGCAGAUGGUUUUGGUGUUGGGUAUGUUUUUGAGAUAAGAGAAUGGAUUGCACAUGAUGGUAUUGUUGAACUGGUGGAGGUACUGUAUUGCAACUGGUGUUGGUGUUGUUGUGUUUUGAAUGACAUCAUUGAAGUAAUUGGAGUUUGUAUCUCAGAUGAUGAUGAGGUGUGUUGGUUGGUUGUAAGAGCUGAACUGUUGGUGAAUGGUGCUGAUAGUGACAAGCUAAGGCUGAAAUGGAUGUUGGUAUGAGCAGUAUAGUAUUAUAGUUGUUAGUUCAGUAAAAGGUAAAAGCUGCAAUUGCAGUUUCAGAGACAGAUCAGAGUUGUGCAGCGAAAGCUUCGAGACAUUGAGUCCGUUAGUUGGUUAACUUCGGCUAUGAUUAUUAUGUUGCACAUUAUAUUUGUAAACCAUAUGACUAUUGUAUAUGUAUCAUUUGAAAGGAGUUCUUGUAUAUACAUACUUUUCAGAGCGGGGCUAGUUUUGGGGUUAAGUUUUGAA